CUCCUCCUUCGUUGAGAGGGUUUGGUUCGCAGAGACAAAGCCCUGGCUUCAGUUUGUUUCCAACCAGCUGGUUGGGGGGCAGCCAUGGGAGAACAGUGUUCGUUGCUGGAGAUGCGUUGGAGGCCGUCGAUAUUUGCUUGGGAGGUGAGCUGCAAAUCCAGCCGCGCUUUCAAUCUUCGUGUCACAGAUUUGGGAUCGGGAGAUUUCUUCUUUUCUACACCCUUCGACUCAGGCUUCCAUCUUUCUUCCUUGCGAAUAUUUGCAUGGUUUGUCUUCAGGUUCUUGAGUAAUCCCUAUUGCUAUAUAAGAGAAGUUGAGGUAUUUAAAUUUCAGAACAUAUUGGGUUCUAUCAGGAAGGGAAUUGAAUCUCACAGAUUAGCUCAGGGUGUUAAAAGGUUCUUAAGGGAAAGGCCAUCCAUGGUUGAAGAAGGGCAAUGGAUAUACCAUACACCCACCUAAAUGAGUCUUUAAUUUUCUGAGAUUGAUUCAAUGGCAGCAAAGGAAGAUUGAUGUAACAAUUAGCAGGGAGUUGCUAUAGGAUUCUAUGCAAUGAAGUGUUUCCACUACUUCAACAACAAAAUAAAUGAGGUGGGAACAAAGAUUGCUGCAUAAUUGAAAGAACAGAGGAAAUCUGAUUAUUCAGGAGCUGAAUAUGGUCAUUAAGUCUUCAUGCUCAACAAAAUCACCCCACUCUGUAAACCGGAAUUUGUAUGAAGUUAGGUUUCAAAUAUGUUAAUGAGAUAUGAGUACAUGCUGUUUUGUGUAGUAUCCUGGUAUUUGUAGGUAUUUUUAAUCGCGAUUUUAUAUGGUUAAUUUUACUUAAAAAUACAGGAAUGGGUCGACUGUGUAGCAAAUGGAGAUGCUAGCAUGUUGACAAUAAAAAUAGAUGCGACAGAAAAAUAGAUGCAAAACCAAA